UUUGGUACCAUUGGAUCUCAUGGGUUACCGGAAAACAUGGGUGAGAUGGAAAUAAACAUAAUGGCCAAUUAGUUAAUACACCUCAUUUUUUAUAAGUUCGGGACAAAUCCUUCGCUAUAUUGAUAACAUUAAUGAGGGAUGUAUUUGAAAAAAGAGUAACAAAUGCAUCUAGAAAUUGGUAGAUGGUCUUAUAUUUAACAAUAAUUUUUUUUUGUAAAGUAGUCUUAUAAAAAUGGACGUAGGGAGUAGGCGAUAAGAUUUCUAUACCUAGAGUAACUUCUUCCUAUAAAAGGCUUCCUUUCAAUUUUCAGCGGAGACAAUUCCCGUUAGUUGUUUCAUUCGCAAUGCGUAUUAAUAAAAGUUAAGGAUAAUCACUUGAACAUGUUGUAAUAUAUCUUUCUACAUUAGUGUUCUCCCAUGGUCAAUUAGAUGUUACAAUUUCAGGAGUUAUUUUGAGACAUGGACUAAACAUUUUGUUGAUUGAUAAAGAUGGCGAAGAUACCACUAUCACUUUGAACAUUGUUUAUCAUAAAGUUUUCCGAAAUAUAUGAUGUUUUCAUUAUAUUUAUAACUUUAUAUUAUAUAUGGUUGUUUCUAUUGUAACGGAUAACUAUGUUUUGUGUUUUAUCAUGUGUUUUUAUAAAUUAUUUUUCAUUAUAUUUAUGAAAGUUUCUUUAGUAAGGCAUUGGUAAAC
rnacentral:lncRNA from 1 species